UUGUAGCAAGAAUGGUGAUACAAAAUUGUGUUAUCAUCAGUACGAGGAUGGUCUAGGUUUGCAUGAAGAUAUUAUAAGAUAAAUGAUAAGUAUGUAAAAAUGAACAAAAAUACAGAAAGCAAUAAUUUAAAUUUUUCGUUUUGAAGAUUGCCUGUAUGAUGAGGUAUCUUUGGAUAAUAACAUUAACGGUACGAAUUUCCCUGCACCAGAUGCGCUCUUCGACAAUACAUGUCUCUUCAGUGAUGCUCGUGGCAAAACAAUUUGAAAUUCAAACUCUACGAAAUCACAAAAUUUUGAAAAACGUGACUACAUGAGCUAACGACGACAUUCAUGAUUGGAAAAUAUAAUGAGUUUCCGAUAGUUUGCAUAUAAAUGUAGCCCUGUGUUGUCCGUUAACU
rnacentral:lncRNA from 1 species